rnacentral:rRNA from 1 species
GACGAACGCUGGCGGCGUGCUUAACACAUGCAAGUCGAACGGAAAGGCCCUGCUUGCAGGGUGCUCGAGUGGCGAACGGGUGAGUAACACGUGGGUGAUCUGCCCCUUACUUUGGGAUAAGCCUGGGAAACUGGGUCUAAUACUGGAUAGGACCAUGCUGUAGGUGGUGUGGUGGAAAGAUUAGUUUCGGUAAGGGAUGAGCUCGCGGCCUAUCAGUUUGUUGGUGGGGUAAUGGCCUACCAAGGCGUCGACGGGUAGCCGGCCUGAGAGGGUGGACGGCCACAUGGGGACUGAGAGACGGCCCAGACUCCUACGGGAGGCAGCAGUGGGGAAUAUUGCACAAUGGGCGCAAGCCUGAUGCAGCGACGCCGCGUGGGGGAUGACGGCCUUCGGGUUGUAAACUCCUUUCAGCCAUGACGAAGCCCUUGUGGUGACGGUAGUGGUAGAAGAAGCACCGGCUAACUACGUG